CUUGCUGUAAUAAGCAGAAAAUUUGGGUUUCACCUGGAUAAUGUUGUGUACCAUGGUAGUGCUUUUCUCCUGCUUCACGUUCUUUUUAUCUGCUGAAAUUUUUUUUAUAGUUGAAAAUACAGUUUCCAGUUUAUAUUGUUUACUUUUUGUUCCAACAUGUAUAACGAAUGUUUUAUCUUUAAUAAAGUAUACAGUUGUCAUGUGAGCAUGAAUUAAAGUGAAGUGGGUUACAAGGUAGCAUGACUGUGCCGUUUCCUUUGUUUCCUACUUUGCGGAUCUGUAAAAUUUCCUGGUACUGAUUUUUUGUUUUUAUCAAAGCAUGGCCUUUUAUAUUCAUGCAAUAUAGUUGCCCAAGAUGAUGAGUAGAAUUAGUCAAAAAAUUCUUUCCUGUGAACUCAGUCUUGAAACAUUGAGAUGGAAGAUCAGUCUGGUUCCAGCUAUCAGUAGAACUCUGUAAAUGAUUUAUUUUGUAAUUAAUGUAGAGUACAGAGGUUUUUGCAUAAUGCUGGCAUAGUAAUCAGUGUCAUGCAAUGGUUGGGUAAGUGUUUUACAAGCGCAUAUGUAUGUGGUUUUGCAGUUGUAGCCCAUCACUCUGAAGCUGUUUCAGACCUGCUGUGCAAACAAACUGAAACAAAAUACUUAAAUUUCCAGUCUCCAGCUGUUCUCCCCAGAGCAGGCUGUGUACUAAUCAUGGUAAGGCCAUAGCUAGAUCUUCUGAGGAAUUUUUUUGAUGUCCUGAAAAUAAUGGGAUCAAUUUUAUUCUCGUUGUGUGGAUGUAUGCACAGGGCAGGAGCACAACAGAAGUGCACAGAAAAGGGACAAAGGAAGCCCAUCAGCCUGAGGACUGGUUGCAAUGUGACCCUGAGAAAGAGAUACUUGAAACUGUGAGUCAAGAAAUGGUCUCCUGUUGUUUGCAUCCUAUUGUGCUCAGGGAAACUGCAUGAUAUACAUGGUUUCUAAAUCAAUAGGAUUGCACUGAGUGAAUGCCUAUCAACGAUUUAAGGCAUGCCAUACCAGACAUCAAAACCCAGCUAAUUAUUUCUACCUAUUACUGACAAAGUUUUUUAGCAGUGUCAUAGGAAGUUCUCAGUGGAAGCAAAUGACAGUGCAUUCAUGGAACUCAACUAAAACUACAUGGCAAAUAUACUUUUCAGUCUGGAGCUCCAUCUGAAAACUAUGUAUUUCUAGUAGCAUUGAGUAUUUUUGUUGUUUUGUGUUUUCUAAACACAUCAAAACCUUGAUAGUUACAGAAUCGUAUAGAAAAGCCUAGGCUGGAAUGGAGCUCUGGAGAUCAUCUGCUCCUGUUGAAAGCAGGACUUUAGAUGAGAUGACCAGGGGCCAUCAAGCCCAGUGAUUUCCAGGGAGUUCUCCUACUUUUCUGAGCAACCUGUUCAAAGUUUGGUUGCUGUCGCAUUGAAGAAUUUCUUGGUAUACCUGGAUGGGUUUUCCCUGACUGAGAUUGUGCUUACUGCCUCUUUUCUCUGGCAUCUUUCUGAAGAGAAUCUCAGUAACAACCAUUGGAAGACUGUGUUCACCCCUUAGCUGUUUCUUUUCCAUGCUGAAGAAACCGAUUUUUCCAACCUUUCUUCAUCUGUCAUGUUCUCCAGUCCUUUGAUCAUCCUGAUGGCCCUCUGCUAGGGCCUCUCCAAUUUUUAAAUGCCUCUUUUGAGCUAGAAGGACCAGAACUGGACAUAGUAUUACAGAUGUGGCCUAAUAAGUGCUGAGGAGAUGGAAUUGCCAUGUCCUUUAGUCUGCUGGCUGCAGACUUAUUGAGGCAGCCCACACCACCAUCUGCUUUCAUGGCUGCAGGGUGGCUCAUGUAAAGCUGGCAAUCUAUGGGAGAAAGCCCUUAAUAGCUACAGUGAUCCACUGAUACUCCUGGGUCCACUUGAUAAUGCUGUUUCAUUUUUGACUACAUAUAAUGAAAGCAAAGCACAGAAGUCCACUAAGCUUCAGGAAGAAAAUGGGAGGUCCUGUCCUUAUUUUACCCUAAAGCCCAAUGACUUCAGCACUCACCCACAGUAUGGGAGAUGUGGAUUCGGCUCUUUCCUUCUUCUGAAGAGUUGGGCCGCGGUUGCUCAUAACCUUGAGUGGUGCCCUUGGGAGGAAGCUGUAACAAGCCACAACAUAUCUGGGGUUCCUUGAAGCUCCCCUGUCGCUACGGUGAUAUUUUUGUUUUGUAUACUUUUGAUGUUUUGUAGACUAGGAGCUACUGGUGUCAUACCUCCUCAGGGAUUAUUUAUCCUAUGUGUAGUCUCUUCUCUUCUUGUUCUGUUCUUCUUGUUCUUAGUUUGGAAAUACAGAAGUCCAGAGAAAUUCCCUCAAACUUUAGAAAAAAUACUGUUUGCCCAGCUCCAGAGUGAUCCUUACGACAUACUAGGUCUUUGUGCAUGGUUUCUUUCCUUUUAUGUGAAUGAACUUGCUUGGAAUUAAGUUAUUAGUCAUGACUUGAAUGGCUCCAUCUUGGUAGUGCUGGUGAGUAAGUAGGAGGUACAUUAAUUUUAUUUUUUAAGAAAGUGUACUUAUCAUAAUGUACUUUGCUUUGAACAUGAUGAUACUUGUUCCUUUUUAUUCUUUUUGUACCUCAUAUGGCUUUACCUAUGCAGUAUAGUAACUUCUGGUGGGAUAGGAAAUCCAUUUGUUUUAUUUUAGAGGAGCCAGGAGAUAUCUGAAAAUAUUUUCUAGUAUCACAGUUUUUUAACAAAAGCUACUUGGGUAUAAUAUUUGAUGUACUGGGUAAUAAAAAGUUGAUCAAUAUUCAUUGCUACUCUUGUUUUAUUUUGGAGUCCAGGUGCCAGAAUGAGAAGAAAACCUAAACAAACCAAAACCACCAACUUUAACAAUGGCACUUUACUUACACAAUAAGAGUUGUGCAGUUGACUUCUCAACAUUAUGUUGCACUUGCAGAUAUCAAAGAAUGAAAAAAAAAGGGUAAUUUUAAUUUAAAUGGUAUGUUAAAGAGAAAUAAUAUUGCCAUAGAUAAUAUCAAAAAAUAAUAAUUACUUCCAAACUUCGUAUGAUUAAAACGAAUUUGGAAUUUCUAAUGUAGCACGAAGAUUGCACAAAUUUCAAUGCACUUUACUAACAACAAAGCCGAACAUGUGACUGGUAGGCUUUUGUUACAGGCACGCAGGGGACAUAUUCUGUUGCGAUAGAGAGCACUGCUUUCUAGAACUUGUCCACAAUGCGUGAGGACAAGAUGCAUUACCAUCAGUAAAUCCAGAAUGAAGAAUCCUUCUGAACAUCAUUAGGAAAAAGAGUGCCUUAAAUUUUCUGAAGAUCUAAUUUCAGGAAAAUCUCAAGGAUAUUGUAAGAUGGAAAUGUCUGCAUGGAACAGGAGAUGAAUCAGUGUUGGACUUUCUGAUGCACUGGUAGCAAAAAACUCGUAGGUACUGUGGUACCCUCCACUUUAUGGAAACAGAUUCAGCACCAGGUGGUAUGUGAAACAUAAAAUCGACUGGUUCAUCAGAACAACUUGUUUCCCUAACUGAGUGCUAAAAUGGUAAGUUUUAAUGGAAAAUGGGACUUCUCAAGGAAGUCCUGCUGGGUGUUCUAAAGGCUACACUUUAAUGAGCACACAAGUAAGUUACCUUGGAGAGAAAUGCUAGCCUAAGAAAGAAGGCACAAAGGUGAUAAUUAAACAAGAAAUCGAUAUGUUAAGUAUGGAAAAGGGGGACAUAACUGGGAAUGAAAUUGAAUCUACAAAAUGUAAAUUAGUACUGGAGAAGAUAAAGGUAAUAAGGAAUUAUUACUGGCCAGCAGAGCUUGAGACAAUAAGAAGGCAUUACAAAUGUAUUAGGAACAAAAGUAUAGAUUUCAGUCUUGCAGAAAAAGACAGAACAGAUCCAAUAGCUGGAAAUCAAAGCUUGCAAAAUUCAAUCACUAUAAAGAUAGAGUGGGGGUGAUUAUACACAAGAAUAAUUUCCCAGUGUAGGUAGGUGGUAAACUUACCAUUGCUAGGAAUUUAAUCCAAUUGGAUAUACUUUAAACUGACUCUGGGAACAGGUUUGUGAAUAUUUCUCUGGAUGUACAUGGAGGUAAUUUCUUCUGUGCAAUCUGUAUAUCUGCACAUUUAAAUUUGUUCUUUGUUGCUUCCUUCUCCAUAAGCUGUGGAGGAGAACAGAAAAAGCUCUCAUUGCCCUCAACGUGUUCCACAUGCUCAGCUCUGUGUUAAGAUGAUGACUAAAAAAAACCCAAGAAGUCUUGUGCUUCAGGGCUACAGCUGGCUACUUGCAGAAGAUACCAUUGAUUGGCCUAAUGACUGGGAAUGACCCAGCAUGUGCUGUUCUGGAGAUGCAUGCAUGCAAGGUGACCAGCCUCUCUGGUUAACAGCUGCUACCAGCUGAACCUAGUCGACUGCCCUUCUCUGCUAGCAACAAAAUUACAGGCUUUGGGAGCUGCCUUCCGUGAUGUGCUGAAUGUUGUACAGGCACGUGAGGAAUUUACUUGUGAAAACCUCCAACAGCCUUAUGCCAAGUCCUUCUAAGCUAACAAGUGAUCCAGUACACUUUCACUUCAAAGAGGGAUGAAGCUUGCCUCCUAAAGUCAGAGUGCUCCGGAUUAUCUCAUUAUCUGAUGGUGGAACAGCUCCAUGAAGAGAGAUCAUAAGUCAUGCUUCCUAGGCUAGUUGAGAGCCUGUGGGGCAGAACAUGCAUUUUGGUAAUGAGAUAGUAUCACCAUCAGGUCUUAAAUAGGAGUCUUCACCACCACACUACUUGCUAUUAAGGCUGUGGUCUGUUUGGUGUUUUCCUGGACAUAUUAAAUCUUUUCCCAACAAGGUAUUCUCAAGAACUAGUAUGGUCUUGAUGAUACAGUGUAUUUGACAGCAUUUCAAGAUUUGUUUAGAAAAAAGAAAAGAAAACCUCAAUUAACUCUGGGCUAUUUCAGGAAUAUAUCACACAUUGCCAUUCUAAAUAAAUUUCAUAGGCUCUAAGUGUCCUGUAGUCACCAUCAUAAUUCUGUUAUCCAUUUGAAAAUUAUGCUUCAAAAGGCAUGAAAUAGGCUUAAAAAUGAAAGAAGUUACCUAAUUUUCAUGUGUUUACUGUUCUUGACCAUACAAUUGUAUCACAUUUUUAAGCUUUUACAGCCAUGAUAGCUUGAAAUGUACGGGAUUUUUGUUAAUGAAAGGUGGGAUUUUCUUCUAUUCCCUUGUCUCUUGGAAUUGUGACUCUAAGCUAGCAUGAUGGCUCAUUAGAAUAUUAAGAGAGAUAGUGAUAUUCUUCAAAAGAAAGCAGUGCCAAAUGAUGCAUAGAGGUCUCUUGAUGCUACACUUGUCAUGGUGUCAUUGGUGGGAAG